rnacentral:rRNA from 1 species
UACGUAGGUGGCAAGCGUUGUCCGGAAUCAUUGGGCGUAAAGCGCGCGUAGGCGGCCCGGUAAGUCCGCUCUGAAAGUCCAGGGCUCAACCCUGGAAAGCGGGUGGAUACUGCCGGGCUAGAAUCCGGAAGAGGCGAGUGGAAUUCCUGGUGUAGCGGUGGAAUGCGCAGAUAUCAGGAGGAACACCAAUAGCGAAGGCAGCUCGCUGGGACGGUAUUGACGCUGAGGCGCGAAGCGUGGGGAGCAAACAGG